rnacentral:rRNA from 1 species
AUUGUACGCUGGCGCCAGGCCUAACACAUGCAAGUCGAGCGGAUGAAGGGAGCUUGCUCCUGGAUUCAGCGGCGGACGGGUGAGUAAUGCCUAGGAAUCUGCCUGGUAGUGGGGGAUAACGUCCGGAAACGGGCGCUAAUACCGCAUACGUCCUGAGGGAGAAAGUGGGGGAUCUUCGGACCUCACGCUAUCAGAUGAGCCUAGGUCGGAUUAGCUAGUUGGUGGGGUAAAGGCCUACCAAGGCGACGAUCCGUAACUGGUCUGAGAGGAUGAUCAGUCACACUGGAACUGAGACACGGUCCAGACUCCUACGGGAGGCAGCAGUGGGGAAUAUUGGACAAUGGGCGAAAGCCUGAUCCAGCCAUGCCGCGUGUGUGAAGAAGGUCUUCGGAUUGUAAAGCACUUUAAGUUGGGAGGAAGGGCAGUAAGUUAAUACCUUGCUGUUUUGACGUUACCAACAGAAUAAGCACCGGCUAACUUCGUG